CACGUAGGGCGCAAGCGUUGUCCGGAAUUAUUGGGCGUAAAGAGCUCGUAGGCGGCUUGUCGCGUCGAAUGUGAAAACUCGGGGCUCAACUCCGAGCUUGCAUUCGAUACGGGCAGGCUAGAGUUCGGUAGGGGAGACUGGAAUUCCUGGUGUAGCGGUGAAAUGCGCAGAUAUCAGGAGGAACACCGGUGGCGAAGGCGGGUCUCUGGGCCGAUACUGACGCUGAGGAGCGAAAGCGUGGGGAGCGAACAGG
rnacentral:rRNA from 1 species